AUGCUCACUUUCGUAGCACAUUCCACGAAAACUGGAAUGAACAGAGAACAUUAGCAUGACCCCUGCACAAAGAUGACAGGCAAACUUGUAAAAUGUUCCUUAUUUUU